GGAUACUGCAAGCCUGCCACUAGGCUGUGUCCCUAACCCAGGCGGGCAAGGAGAACCAGGAGCGGGACCUAUGGGUCGUCGCUGUGGGAUUGGGAUUUCCAUCGCAGCGUAGAAGGGAGAAGAGAUGGCGAGCACAAGACCGCCACAGGCGGGAAGCCUAAGGUGCCGGGGAAGAAGGACGGCUCUGUAACCAGGCAACAAGGCCCAGGCCCGCCUCCCGCUCCCGUUGCUACGCAACGCCGAGGCCAGGGGGAGGGCGUCGGAGCAGCCCUACGUGCUGACGCUAAUUGUAUAUGAGCGCGAGCGGCGGGCUCUCGGGUCUUUUUUAGCGCCAUCUGCUCGCGGCGCCGCCUCCUGCUCCUCCCGCCGCCGCCGCUGCCGCCGCCCUGAGUCACUGCCUGCGCAGCUCCCGCCGCCCGGCUCCGCGUCCGAGCCUCCUGGAACGACAUUUGGAGUUCUUACAAGAUGGCCGACAUUGACAACUUGCCUAAGGUAGUCAAAAGACGAGUGAAUGCUCUCAAGAAUCUUCAGGUUAAAUGUGCACAGAUAGAAGCCAAAUUCUAUGAGGAAGUUCAUGAUCUCGAGAGGAAGUAUGCUGUUCUCUAUCAGCCUUUAUUUGAUAAGCGAUUUGAGAUCAUUAAUGCAAUCUAUGAACCUACAGAAGAAGAAUGCGAGUGGAAACCAGAUGAGGAGGAUGAAGUUUCGGAGGAGCUGAAAGAAAAGGCCAAGAUUGAAGAUGAGAAAAAGGAUGAAGAAAAAGAAGACCCGAAAGGAAUUCCUGAAUUUUGGUUGACAGUGUUUAAGAAUGUUGACUUGCUCAGUGACAUGGUUCAGGAACAUGAUGAACCUAUUCUGAAGCACUUGAAAGAUAUUAAAGUGAAGUUUUCGGAUGCUGGCCAGCCUAUGAGUUUUGUCUUAGAAUUUCACUUUGAACCCAAUGACUAUUUCACAAAUGAAGUGUUAACAAAGACUUACAGGAUGCGGUCAGAGCCAGAUGAUUCUGACCCCUUUUCUUUUGACGGACCAGAGAUUAUGGGCUGUACAGGGUGCCAGAUAGAUUGGAAAAAAGGAAAGAAUGUUACUUUGAAAACCAUUAAGAAGAAGCAGAAACACAAGGGGCGUGGGACAGUUCGUACUGUGACUAAAACAGUUUCCAAUGAUUCUUUCUUUAAUUUUUUUGCUCCUCCUGAAGUUCCUGAGAAUGGCGAUCUGGAUGAUGAUGCUGAGGCGAUACUGGCUGCAGACUUUGAAAUUGGUCACUUUUUACGUGAGCGCAUAAUCCCAAGAUCAGUGCUGUACUUCACUGGAGAGGCUAUCGAGGACGAUGACGAUGAUUAUGAUGAAGAAGGUGAAGAAGCUGACGAGGGUUAUCAGCUCUUUGAAGAAGUCAAAAGCUGCAGUAAACUUUUCCAACGUUGGCUGCAGUAAAUCUUUUCAAUAAAAGCUGUCUGGAUGUCUCAAGUUGUGUUGGGAAAUUUUUCAUAUUAGAAGCUUUGAAAUUAAAUUGUAUUAUCAACAAACUCUGUAAUCAUGAAAAUCUGUUGACCCAUAGAGUAACUUGUAUAAAAUUUCCAUACAUUAUGAGCCAAUUUUUCUAGUAUGUACCUACUUCAUGGAUGCAUUUUGAACUUUAAUAUAGGAAGGGGAAGAAGAAGGAGAUGAGGAAAACGAUCCAGACUAUGACCCAAAGAAGGAUCAGAACCCAGCCGAGUGCAAGCAGCAGUGAGCAGUGACUGGCCUUGAGGACGGCCGCCCUGUAAUAGCCUAAACAUGACUCAUUUACUUACAGCCUUAUGGUUUUGUAUUUUCUUGGUAGAAUCAGUAAGUUUUUAAGGGAAAGGAGAUUGAUAUUUGAAAGACGAGUUUGUUCUACCUAGCACCCUAGCUCUAGCUCUGUCAGAUACGUUAAUGCAUACAUCCUCUCUAAUGCAUGUUCAUUUAUUGCUGCAGUUUGGUUCUUCUGGAGUAUUUUCAUCAUUUAGCUAUUGGAAUACAAUUAUGAAAACCAACUGUUGAACAUACUUGGAGUAGCUGUUUCUUUCCUAAAGAACCAAAGUUGUUUUCAGCUAAUAGAACAGGUUGAAGUCCGCCUGCAUUAGCUGUGUUUUCCCUCAUCUUGUUAGAGGGAUGCACAGGGCACGGUGACAUCAUUUCCCUCAUGUUGUUAGAGGGAUGCACAGGGCACGGUGACAUCAUUUGAGGGAGGAAAAUUGUCGUUAAGAAUUUCCAGUAAGAUCAAACUUAAUAACUGAGAUUAUGAAAGCAUUUUUAUGUUUUCGAUGAUAUAAACAAAAGUCAACUCGUUUAUAGCAAGGUGAACAAACCCUAGGUUCUCUUGAAGUUGAUAGUAUUUAAUGUAUUUUGAAAAUUAACCUCCAUUAAUUAAAUCUUUUCUUUGUGGUAGGGCCUACCUUCUGCUUUCCUGGAAAAGAUGAAUAUACAUCAUAUGAACCUAUUUUGAGUUUUUCUGUUGUUUGUUUGCCUAAUUUUGUUUUUAUAGCCUAAAAUAAAAAUAUGACACAGUUUUAGCUCUCAUGGGAUGCUGUCUCGGUUUGUACUGAUUGAGGCUAUUGCAGAGGGUUAGUUGGAAUUCAGGGGUGCCUAGUUUUCUAUAUUGAACAACGCUGGAGGAGCUAAUACACACGUGCUUUAAAAAAAGUGAUAUGCUCUAGUUUGAGCAGAAAGGUACAGUUGUGCUUGUUAGAACUGAAACCUUUGUUUGGACUUUGUUUAUUCUGUCCUCAGGAGGAUGAGGAGUGUCGGGAGCCAUGCUGUUUAUUUACUGUGCAUAACCAAGAAUGGGUGGGACUGUUGAUUCAACUACCUCAACUCUGUUAAGGCAUAUUGGGGUAUAUCUCACAAACUCUCAGUCUUACUUGCAAAAUGCUCAAAAAAUUGGGCCUCUAUACCAUGAGUGUGAUAUUCAGCAUUAUAUUCACACCAAGCUUUGAUGAUUAAACUGGAGAAUGAAGUUUAAACACUUCUAUUCUAGAUCUGAGCAUGUGGCUCCAAUUUUAGUGGGAAGGAAUGAAAGUAGUGUAUGAUUUCAAGAGAUUGAAGAGUUUUGGGAUUUUUGAGUUUUACCCCCCUUCAGAUAUUUCAAGUGACCACAUUAUAAAACACCCUAAGGUGGUAACGAGGCAGGGGAGGAUGGCAUGAAGUUGCAUUAAGUUUCAGACCACUGAGAGCCACAUUUAAAAUACCUCAGGCUAAUUACUGUUCACUUUGGGGCAGGAGUAGGUUUUGCCAGGGUAUAGUAAUUGGAUUGCACUCCAAGGAAAGUUCCUAUUGUUAAUAAAAUUUACGUAGAGGAGAAACGUUUGUUUGAGGUGGUAGUUCUUUCUGUGAGGUUUUAGUAUUCGAACUCUUAGAAUGUGAACACAUUCGAGAGCUGACUUCUUCCUGAGAGUUUUAACUACUGGAAAUCCUUAACCAAUUAUAUUUUCUUUAUUUUGAGAAUGAUUUGGUUGCUUUUUCUUAGAUGGUUUCUGCUAUUUUCUGUAAUCAUAGUUCAUCUAAACACAGCCUAUUUUCGUGAACAUUGAAGUUUGUAACGGAAAGAUAGGAUCUCAUUUUCAGUGAACUUCCAGACUAGCGCACUCUUCCCUUCCCUCUGUAGGAAGUAGCUGUUGCCAAAGCGAAGAGGUAGCUGGCUCUUGUAUAAUGGGAAAGUGCCGUGUGGAGCUUCAGGGGUCAGUGUUUAUUAUGACAUCUGUCAGUCCCCAAAUGGUUCUAUUCUCUACAAGUCUGAAAUAUGUAAUCUGAAAUCCUUAAUAAAAUUGGAUCUAAUUUUAUAAAAUA